rnacentral:lncRNA from 12 species
AUGCGCGCGAGACGCAGGAGCGUUCAGGCGCUGUCGCAUAUGCGUGUCUCGCGCUUGCCGCCUUUUGCCGAUUUGAAGGGCAACGAUCCGUUGAGGACUUGUCCGAACACCCCACAAGAAAGCAAAAAACCAGCAUACUCACUGUUUUUCAGGAUCCAGACACUGUUCUCCCUGCGGCACUUCGACACUUGUAUAUCCAUUCCACAGCUGCCCAUUUCAGCGACGUUUACAGCCGACGGGGCUUUGCCUGGCGCAAGGAGAAAAGGGUUAUAUCAAAUUCAUACACACAAGGACAAGAUUACGGCCCCCCCAAUGCACUUGAGGCCUUGCACAGUCUUGGUGGAUGGUUCCAACAGUGAAAGGGCUCCAUUGAGUAAUUCAAGAUGGUCUUGCGGUUACAAGGGAGGUAAGAGAGCAAUACAUUUCCUACGAAAAGUAAGUUGA